rnacentral:tRNA from 1 species
AGCAGCAUGGCCCAGUGAAAAGAGCAUGGGACUGGGUAUCAGAGGACCUGGGUUCUAAUUCCAGUACUGCUA